rnacentral:lncRNA from 1 species
GAUUCACAAAUUCAUCUUCUAAAUGCUUUUGAGUUCAUCGACUUGCCAUUGGUAAGUCCAAUUUAUUUUGUGUUUCAAUCUUCUUCCUAUAGCACUUGUGCUUGAUAAUGAUGUUGUACACAAAAUGGCUUAUGAGAUAUCUGCAUAAUGUGUAUACAAAUGAUUUUUGGUUAAUAUUUUGUAUGAUUCAUUUGGCAAAAAAGAUUCUUGUUCUUUGUGGAGGUUUAUACAGCACUUCUGUCAUCAUAGCCUUUUCAAGUCUGUACAUCUACAUGGAAACUUUCGCCUACAAACUAGGGUUCACUUCGGUUAAAAAAAGUAUAUUUUACACACACAAAAUGCUUGAAGUUCAAUUACUGAUUCUUAGUAAGUGCACUCUGUUUUGGGGAGUGCAUAUCUUGCUUAGAAAACAUGGGUAAGUUCAUGAAGAGAAAAAUUAUAUGUUGAAAAUCUAGGAAAGCGGUAAUCCAUAGGCCCAUGCUGCAGUGCUGAUGCAUAGGUGCCUGCUUCUACCCGCAAUUUUACUAGUUGUUUGUUGAACAUUCCACUGUGUGUUUUUAGAUGCUAAGUGUCAAUGCCACGGUUGAUGGUGGUAUACAUAGAAAACAAUGAAUUGUUGCAGUGUAGCUGAAACAGAGCAUCACAGGCUAAUUAAUUGUAGUUUCUUGUUGCGCAUUUGCGCAAUGACAGUUUGUGUGCACCAUGUGUGUAAGAAUGUUGUUGCUGGAUGGCCAAAAAACAAAGCUUAAUUAGUCUCUGCAAUACAAUGGUUGGCUGGAGAUUUCUUUUUACUGUCCAAAGAAAAUUAUAUCUAUACUAUGUGUAUCAGUUCAUGAUAUAAUUUUUCAUCAGUGUGUAAUUCUGUCUUCUUAUGAUAGAUAAAUAUACUACUUUGGAUCUUCAUUAGUUUCUCAGUCUUCAGUCUCAUUUUCUUCUUCAGUACGUCUUGUCCCUAUGUCAUUCUUAGUAAUUGUUUAGUAUUAGCUAUUCUGGUUAUCAUUCAGAGAUAAGAGGUGAGUGUUUGGUGUUUCACUCCAUCCGGCGGGGAGGCGCCUCGGCCGCUCUCCGAUGGGCCGUCUGGUCUGCCGCCUUCUCCGUCUGGUGGGCAGCAGACCUCUUGGACGCUCUGCGGUGGUCCCUCUUGCCAUCCCUCUGCUGAUGCUGAUGUUGAUGUAGCUCCUGCAUCUUUGCAGUGGGCUUGCAGAUUCCUCAUUGCCCUGCUUGAUUUCUUAUGUGAUGCCGCAGACAAGAAAGUUUCUGAGUACACGAUGCGUCGAUGGACGGAUCCCAGGUGGGCAAACACGACGUGUUUUGUCCUGCGCCUAGAAGCUUUGGAGGCAGUACUUCCUCGACAGAUCCAGCAGUGCUGGUUCAUAUAGAACUUGAAAUUACCUAUCUGCCACGGGGAUGUACUUCCCUCAGUCAUCUCUCAACAAAACUAGCAGUGUAGGUUCUCUGCUAUACAUCUUAAUAAGUUUUUAACAUGUACUACAUCUUUUCAGUACAAACUUUUAAAAAGUUUCUUUUUGAACUUCUCACAAUUAAUAUACAUGAACUUGAUUAGCUUUUUAACAUGUACUGAUAUCAACUUCAUUGGAUUUUUUGUGUGUGCUUGUAACACAAUCAGUUCAGAUAUCGAGAGACCAUAAGUUCAAGUUCACUAGUAUUUAUAAAUGUUGGUUGCAGUACUAGUAUUUACAAAUUUCUUAUAAUUUCCACAGGUUGGAGGCCGUACACAUUUCUUAUUUCUAUUGCUAUAAGUUCAACUGAUCAAAUGUUAUAAGCUCGCAUGUUAUUCUCCAAUUAGUUCAAGUGAUCAUUGUUUUAUUUUAUUGUGUAUAUGUCUAAGAGUAAACUUUGUGACCUGAACUUUCUACUUACUGCUUAGAGAAGGCCCCAUUUGUGGCAUGAACUUUCUUCUUAUUGCUUACAGAAGGUCCCUUGGAAAAGAUGACUAGCUUUCCAAGUUGGGUUAUCCUCAAACAGUUUAUAUUUUAAUAUGGAAUAGGAAAAUAUGUUUGCUUUGGAGUGUGUUUUACAACUAGAACCUUUGAGACUUCAUAUUCUUUGCGUAUGCAAAAAAACAGAGGACAAAAGCUGGCUACCUGCGUAUAGUUUUUGUAAUUUCCAUGGGAAACUAAUAUUCAUGCUCCUCUUUGGUGGAUGUUUUGAUAUAUUUCCUUCAAGAAUUGUAGUUGUCGGAUGGUGUUACACAAUUACUGUUCUAGCAUCAUUAUUUAUAUUAUAUUUUUUAGCAUUCUUGCAACCCUAUUAACAACAUCUUUUUGUGCAGUGUUUGUCAGUUUUUUUUAUUUAUGGACAUCUUGGGCUUGCUGGGUGCAGAAUCAAGAAGGCCAGGGAGAGGUACUAGUAGAAUAGGAAGAAGUAAUGUGAAAGAUGAGAUAAAUGUGAGAAUAACAAGUAUAAAAGCAUGAGAAGGAUUCAGAUUUUUUUUAGAUUCUUGUUGUACACGUACCUUUGGUAUGUAGAUGCACCCUAAUGUAUCUAUAAAGUAUGAUGGUUAAUACCUCAAUGGUGCACUAUGCAUCUUUGGCAGUUUUUAUGCAUUUUUAGUCAUUGUGCAGCAAUUUAAUGGUGCGCUAUGUACUAAAGUAUGCAUUCUCGAAUCUGGGAAGUUCACAUGUACUUGUACAUUGGCUCAUCAAGGUUGUGUGCGUAUCAUACAGAAAUCUGGAGCAAUUUGGCAAAAAGUAUCAUACAGAAAUCUAGAGCAAUUUGGCAAAAAGUAUUUACAUACGUUCAAACUUGAGGAUACGGCAAGUUCAGAGAUUUUCUUGUUAAAAAAGUUCAAAGUUGACAAAUAGGGGAUGUUCAUUCAUAUGUCUAAUUUUUUUUGAGCUUAUAUAAAAAGUGUACAU